GAUACGGGGUGUUAUUAAUAAGACAUGUUUCCUUUUUGGUACUAGGGUGCUCCUGGUGCUGUGGGUGCCCCUGGUCCUGCUGGAGCCACAGGUGACCGGGGCGAAGCUGGGGCUGCUGGUCCUGCUGGUCCUGCUGGUCCUCGGGGAAGCCCUGGUGAACGUGGUGAGGUCGGUCCUGCUGGCCCCAAUGGAUUUGCUGGUCCUGCUGGUGCUGCUGGUCAACCUGGUGCUAAAGGAGAAAGAGGAGCCAAAGGGCCUAAGGGUGAAAACGGUGUUGUUGGUCCCACAGGCCCCGUUGGAGCUGCUGGCCCAGCUGUAAGUUGAAUUCACUGGUGGUCCACACAGCAGCUACCCAUUAGAUCUUCCAAUUAAAUAUAUAUCCGUCAAGUGCCUGCUGUGCAACAGGGAAUAUACCAGAUAGAAGAUGGAAAAUAACGGAAGGAUUAACAUUUGCACACUGCUUUACAAUGUAUAGAAGUUUCAUAAAUAUUGUUUUAUCUUAAUUCUCUGAUAACCUCAUAAGGGUGGUAAUAUUGAAGAACAUUCUGACACAGAUAGUCAUUUUUUAUUUCUACAUUUUCUUCUAAGAGAUGCGGGAAUGAUCCCCUUGAAGAAAAGAGUAGCAUUUAUAAGGGUUUGUCUGUGAUUUGACUCCAUCUUUUUGUUUGCAUUUAGGGUCCAAAUGGUCCCCCCGGUCCUGCUGGAAGUCGUGG
rnacentral:sRNA from 1 species